UCCUUAGCGGUAAAUCAUAUGCAAAAAAGAAUAAAAUAAUAAUUUUUUGCUUAAUAAACUUAAGGAUUGGUCCGUAAAUAGGAGGUUUAAGAAUCUGAUCCUUAAGCUACGUGGCCAAAUCUUAAUGGAUGGGAACAGUUUUGUGUCGUCUUCUUCGUCUUCCAUCUCCUCUCUCUCUGCUUCGAAUAGAAUCAUGCGAAGAUUCAAUUCGGUUCUGCGGAGUUUGCAGGCGCGACGAACAUUUGACUCCUCCGCCCUCGGAUUGCGACCAGAACAACUGUACAAGGAAGGUACUUGAUCUCCGAUGAUGAAGGCUAUGUGUGUGAUGCUGUGUCUUUGGAUUCUCGAACCCGUUGCUGCCCAUUGAAAGGAGAAAGAUUCUCUUGCCAUGGAUGCAACGUCCUUUCACAAUGCUGCAGCUCUUAUGAAUUUUGCGUUUCGUGUUGCUUGAAUCCAACUCGGACGCUUCUUGAGAUAAGGUGGCUAAGGUAAAAGUUGCCAAGCCGAUUACAGCAGGGACAUACACGACUGUAUUUGAUUUUUGUGCCGGGAGAUGUGCCAUAGUUCUGAGAGUGUGGUAAGCGAUUGACUGUUCUUCUCUUCUUAGCAAGUUUUUCUUGAGUUUAUGUUGCCGAAGUUGGAGAAUACUAUUUUUGAUCUUCUUGUUGUUCCAGAAUAAUUGCAUAUGCACACACUUUUGAUAUGAUUGAAUAACACCAUUGCACACACUUUCUUUUAA